AGAGUUUGAUCAUGGCUCAGAACGAACGCUGGCGGCAUGCCUAACACAUGCAAGUCGAACGAGACCUUCGGGUCUAGUGGCGCACGGGUGCGUAACGCGUGGGAAUCUGCCCUUGGGUUCGGAAUAACAGCGAGAAAUUGCUGCUAAUACCGGAUGAUGUCGUAAGUCCAAAGAUUUAUCGCCCAAGGAUGAGCCCGCGUAGGAUUAGCUAGUUGGUGAGGUAAAGGCUCACCAAGGCGACGAUCCUUAGCUGGUCUGAGAGGAUGAUCAGCCACACUGGGACUGAGACACGGCCCAGACUCCUACGGGAGGCAGCAGUGGGGAAUAUUGGACAAUGGGCGAAAGCCUGAUCCAGCAAUGCCGCGUGAGUGAUGAAGGCCUUAGGGUUGUAAAGCUCUUUUACCCGGGAUGAUAAUGACAGUACCGGGAGAAUAAGCUCCGGCUAACUCCGUG
rnacentral:rRNA from 1 species